rnacentral:misc_RNA from 1 species
GAUGAAGAACGUAGCGAAAUGCGAUAAGUAGUGUGAAUUGCAGAAUUCAGUGAAUCAUCGAAUCUUUGAACGCACAUUGCGCCCGCCAGUAUUCUGGCGGGCAUGCCUGUUCGAGCGUCAUUUCAACCAUCAAGCCCCCGGCUUGUGUUGGGGACCUGCGGCUGCCGCAGGCCCUGAAAAGCAGUGGCGGGCUCGCUGUCACACCGAGCGUAGUAGCAUACAUCUCGCUCUGGGCGUGCUGCGGGUUCCGGCCGUUAAACCACCUUCAUAACCCAAGGUUGACCUCGGAUCAGGUAGGAAGACCCGCUGAACUUAAGCAUAUCAAUAAGCGGAGGA